UAGUAACGUAAACAUCAUUUCUACACGACUGUUUGAAUACAAGUGAAGAUAUGAGAUAGUUCAUUAAGUGCCUGAUACCGAAGAAAAAUGUUAAAUUAAAUGUUCAACUCUGUUUAUCACUCAUGCACGUUUACCCCAUUUUUCACAAAUGAUUAUUAAUCAUUUCUGCAACUCACAUACUUCUACAAUUCUACACAUCAUGCUUCCACGAAGAUGUUAUAAAAGAAUGUCUGCAGAUAAAUGUACAGUAAUGAUAAGUCUUCAUUUAUUGGACUGAAGUUCAAGUUCGAUGGGACAAUUUUCCUUCUGACACAGUUGAUUGAGUAUCUCGGUGAAGGAAAAUUAUAAAUCAAGUAUAUAGUGAUGUUUAGAACUCGAUGAACGUUCACUGUCUAUUGUUGAUGUGAUCAAUAAUCACUGGCUGACGAAGAUCGAUUCCUGUGUUACAAUUAUCCUAUACUAUUCCUAUAAAUUCCUUUUAUGACACAUCUUUCAGUAAAAUGUACUGAAAAUAUGUGACGAACUAAAUAAAUAAAUGUUCGCCUCGGAGUUUUUCCAACGAUUACUAAUCAGCGAGAAACGAUAAUCGAUUCGUGGAUUUUGAAAACCUGAGUGACAGUCUUUCACGAAGACGUCAUAAAAUAUCUUGUGGAAGGUCUACGUUCCGUGAUGGAGUCACUAAAAAAUUGAUGAAUAACGCACAUUUUCCGUAAAUUGAAAACUACUUCUUCCUCACACUGUGUGUAAAAUCAUUUUUCCCUCAUGGGAUUUCUUUCCACACGAAAAGGUUUAUCUGAUGGGAUUAUGUCACCUCUGGCUCGAGCUAUAAACCUCGCACGAACUGAAAAUUUUUUUCCUCCCUUUUCCUCACUUUUCCUGACGUAUUCGAAUUUACUAUUAUGACAUGCCAUGAAAAAAUGGAGCUUCAAAUUUAUCAUAGUGUCGAAUAGUUGUACGAUAAGUCAUAAAUAACUUAUUGCAUUUCAUGCCAUAAAAUAUAGUAAAUCGACCCCCGAUAAACUCCAUUUUCAAGAAAUGUGAAAAAUUAUUUUACGUUUUCAACAAUUUUUCGUCAAAAAAAAAAUGAAUACAACAUUUUCAGGUUUUUUUAGGUGUCCGAAUAGUUGCGAAGUCGUGCGUAAAAUGAACUUUCAAAAUUUAUUUUACGCACGACUUUAAAUUUUACGCACGACCUUAAAUUUUACGCAUUAAGUGCGGAAAAUGGUACAUUUAAUACAAUUGCGGGAAAGUGGUUUUGGGGUCGUGAGAAGUUUACGGUACGAGCCGAAGAUGAAUAACAAUUCUAAAAGUCUAAAAAUAUUUUUCCCGUGACUAUUGAACAUUAUUUUUGGGCACAAUGCCCGGAAAGUGGGGCUUUGCGCACGUGGAGAGUGUUUUAUGUCUCAGUUGCUUCUUCACCAAUAUCUCCAAAUCUUCCGAACAUAGCGAAUUUUUCAUCAUGACCUUUGUUGUAGUUCUCAAUGCGCUUUACAAAAAAGGUUCAGGUAACAAUUUGACUAUCUCCCUUAGAUUCCGAGAUAUUCAUCAACAACUGGGGAGUAGUCGAAGCGGCUUAUCUCGAUGUACCACUUGACUACUGAUUUAUGUCGUGACAAGAAAAAGAAGAUUAAGACAUCAUCUAGAUAUGGGACAAUUGUUAAAAAUUUUUAUCUGCGCCCCAUCUUCCAUUUAUCUUCGGACGAUUGAUAAUCAAUGACAGACUAAUCGAUUCCUAGAUUUUUAAAUUCUGACCCCCAAUGCUGUCACAGAACUGUUAAAAAUGGAUAGAGAUAAGUCUGUUACCUUAUGCAUGUUGUUAUAGCGCAAGCUUGACGCAAUAAUACGAUCGCCUUCGUCAAAAUGGUGGAUUUCAUCAUAAGGCUGAAAUAGUUAUUUUCGUCACAAGGCCGAAAAAAUUUUCUGACGAGUGUGAGGGUUGCAGACUAAAAUCGAGCAACGCAACCGUCACCGGUCAGAAAAUCUUUUCUAGGCCUCGUCACGAAGGAUAUUUUCAUCGAAGUCUUCGAACAGUUACUUUGCCGCACUUGUAUUGAAACAAACUACACAUCACUAUUUGAUUUAAUAAAGUGAAAAGACGCCGAAACACUCAGAUUAAAAUCCUUCAAACCAAAACAUUCAAUUUUAUUGCAGUGACGCACAUUCACCUGAUAUUCUUCAAUCGUGUGAUAUUUAAUUGGAGCCGAUGAUCGACUCCGUGAUUCCGACAAUUUGAAUGACAUUCUGUCACAACGCUGUCAACAAAAAUGGAUCAAGAUAAAUGUGUACCUUAGCCAUAUAGUUGGAGUGUGAACUCAGUGGAAUAAGUCAGUUAAGAGAAUAAAAAUUCCAAUGCCUUGGGACAGUUCACCGAUAACUAAAGAUUAUCAUAGAGAAUUGUGUAAUUCCGUCACUCUGGCAUACCAUUUACACCAGAAAUUUACUUACCGCGCUUGAAUAUCCAAGGCAACGGCGAAGGAUAUGAACAUUUUCCCUGCCGCUGAUGAUGCUUUGAAACGAGGGAGAAUGCAAGGCAACACAAUUUUUUUUUCUCAAGUAAUAAUUUCUAAAAAUUGUAUUGUACGACAUUACAGGGCAUUCAUCGUUUUCCGCUUAAUCUUCCGUUUACUUAACACCAUCGAUGCAUUUUACUAAAUGAAAAUUUGUAAAAAAAAAAAACAAUUUUUGUACAUUGAAAUAAUAACUUCGUCGAUAUCUUACAAUAAUAGCAAAAUCUCUGUGUACCAUGAAAUACACUUAAAACCUAAGAUUACAGUUUAUACCUUGUAUCGAAUUUUCUCAAUCUCACAUAAUGAAUGUCUUAGUCUUUCACCAAAACUAACCGCACGAUGUAAACAACUACAAAUUAGUUUUCGUUCGUUUUGUUAAUAUAACAAUUAAAACGUCUCGUGAAGCGACUUAAUAUUAAGUAUCAGACAACUGAUAGUAAUUUAAAAAAAACAACGGAAUAACAAUGACGCAGUCAGUACAUCCUGAAACAUUGAAUGCUUCUCCCGCAAAUUUACCUUUUUUUUUUGUUUAUUUUUGUCAAUGCUUUUUGUAUAAAUAUUCGAUAAAAAUUGUUUCCAGGCGACAUAGAAAAAAUCAGUGUUAUUCGCGUCGAAUACGAAAAUUCUUUGAUGGCACUUUUUUUUUGUUAUCAUUCUUUUUCAUUUUAAUUUUGAGCGUUAUUUUUUUGUUUUUCUGUUUGUUGAUUUUUUUUCGUUACGUUUAUAUUUACAUGAUUCUCGUUCAUUCCUCUUGUGUUCCAUUAAAAAGUAUGCCAUUCUGUAUACAGCAGUUUGAAUAAUAAAACACCACGUUUGGCACGUUCCUAAUGACGACUCUAUAUACGAGUAUUAUAUAAUUAUAAUUCUCUACAAUAAUUAACCUUACGUACCCCGUUAACGAUUCUAUCAGUAAAGCAUUACAUGCUUAUACCUAUUAGCUCGUUAUGACUGCUCAAAUAUGUAGUAGCCAAGUGGAAAUAAUAAUGAAUCGUUUUAUUAUUUUCAUUUCUGUAUUUUUGGAACAGGAGGCAGAUGAUAAAAUUCGUUUUCACUUGAAAUAAUCUCCCGUUGGCUUUAUAGACUUUUGUUUUUUUAAAGAAAUAGCUGCCCCAUUGUCGUAGACAAUCCUAAAAUGCAAGCAAUGGAUUACAUUAAUUGGCGACAUCUUGUAAAUAUGGAAUUUUUUUUUUAUAAAAGGAGAAACUAUCUGAUUUUUCAUGCUGUGAAAUAAUCCGUAACCAUUUAGUCGUGUGACAGUAGUCAUGCCCAUAUUCUAUUAAAAAACUGAGAAUUUUAUGAUUGUGCUAUGAAUUAUGAACUUAUUUCAUAUAUUCUUACUACUAAGUCAUUAAUACACUGCUGAAAAUGUUUGAAUGAAAUUUUUGGUAGAUUUUUUUACAAAUUUUUAUCACGUUUUAGUUGCAGUGAAAUUUCAAAGUAUUUUGUCAUUGAAUAUUCUCACUCGAAACUAUAAAUUUUAAUUCAUUUGAGGAAAGUUUAGAUAAUUAAUUCGCGAUUUAUCGAGACUUUGAUUUUUUUCAUUCCGUUGGAGUUUAACUAAAAUGUCCAGGAAACUUCAACCUCGCGAUUCAAUAAAAGAAUAAAAACGAAUAGUAAAUUUCCGUGUAAUUAGACCGUGGGAGCCAAUAAAAUAAAACCAAUUUUGUUGACUAUAUUUUUCAAAGUUUAAUUGAAUAAAAAUUCACCACAAGUGCGCAAUAAAUAUCCAACUUCUCACAAAAAACUAUAAUUUUUAUGAAUUCUCGGUGAAAUCUGAAAUUCCAUAAAUUUUUUGUCCCUCAAUUGAACUCAAUGUCACCCUCCAGAGAACUGCUAGUCAACUAUCCAUAAAAUUUCAAUUAUUUUCUAACAGUGUACACGAGAAAAAAGAUUUUCAAAGCAUGCAUCCCAUUAACGUGCACUAUACCAUAAUCGCCUUGGGCUCAGUGGAUCCAGCUCUCUAGACCAAAAAAAAAUUAAACAGUUGUUGGAAAUAAGUUCAAGCAUCAACCAUACGCCAUAGAGAAUGAAAAAGUCCCUCAACAAUCGUUGAAAACAUAAAUAUUUACAAUUUGUUUCUUUGAGAAAAAGACCUCUGAAGUUGACUAGAGAAUGAAGAUGACUCAAUUCUUAUUUCUACAUUAAUUGCACGUAAACUCAGGUGAAAUUCGAGCGAAAAAAACUUUUCGACUCAUCUUCAUCCCCGCCCCAGUGAACAAUAGUCAAAAUAAUCUCUACUGAAUUUGAAACCAUCUCUACAUACUUCAUGCUACCAAGAAUCCAAAAACAUCGACAUUCCUAUUCUUCAUAAUAAAAAAUAAAGUAUUUACAAAAGGAAAAACAUGGAAAAAAAACAUCUACAUAACAUCGACAAAAAAUUCACAUGGAUUUCCCAUCGCAAUUCUAAAUGACUGUCUACUACCGGAUAUAUCUUGCUGAUUCUGCUGAUUAGUAGAGCCAGUUCCCGUUUGUACAGACUGCUCAGAACCACUUGAUCGGCUACGACUGCCAUUUGAUCUUUUUCCAUUUGAUCCAUUGCCAUUCCCGGAAUUCUUACUGGGCACAUUUGGUGGCAUAUGUAAAUCGGUUUCCGAUGCUGAUGAGCACGAUUUUAAAUCGUGAAUUGGCUCUUUGCAGAUGUGUUCGCUACCAGCGCUACUUCCACCUUGGAAAUCGGAUAUGACAAGAGAAAAAUUAAUUCAAAAGUUCAAACUAUUAACUCAAACGUGCCAAGGCUCCUUUUAAAUCUCUCUCAAUUCAAGAAACGCUCAAAGUUAUUUUAUAAAAAUUAAUUAAUUACCAAAAAGGUAACUUUCAAUGACACAUUUUCAUUAACUGAACAAUCAAAGAGACAAAAUAAUCGAUUAAUCAUUGUCCUCGUUAUUUACGUUUCCGUGAAAACCCCCUGACGUAACAUUGAGAUUGAACAUGUUUUUCCGGAAAUACGCGAGGGAAAAAAAACGAAUUAAAUCCUUACGUCAGACGAUAUAAAUUAGUUGCACGAGGAAUUAAUUACCCAAUUACCUCGAUUAUAUUUUUCCCACAUGUUCCGAUGGAAUUGUUGAAUCGAGAGUGAAAAAAAAAGGAAUCCUCCGCGUUAAAAAAAAAUUACCUGACUCACUGUGAACACUUUCUUCACGGUGAUAUCCAUAGACAGUUGGUUCAUUAGUGAAAUUGAAUGGCAUUGGGCUGUAGCCAGCGGCUGAGUGUGGGGCAUAGGGUCCUGAAUACAUUACAUCCCAUCCUGGUGGUGGUAAGGGUGCAACAGUAUCACUAUCCAAUUUCAUAUUUGCCAUUGUCGAGCACAAAUCACCGAAAAUGUAAUAGCAUUGUUCGGAAAAUGUUAUCUUAUUAACGGUGUGCCUGAUGAAGCCGGCUUUUAGCAUCAACGAUGCAUACUUUCGUGCAUCACGACGAUCAAUAAAACCUUCAACCCACAUGCGAUCUCUAAUCUCCAAACCAGAGUCAGGUCGGGCCAUUGCUCGGACUAUCGUCGGCAUGUCUGUAUUGAUACUCAGGCGUAAUUCUUCCAAGGGGCCUGCGAACAAUGGAGACCCAGAAUUAUUACCAUUUUACCGAGGAUUUAUGUAAUCAUCAGUUCCUGGAGUAUUAUGAUAAUUAUCAACGCAUUAUGAGUGCUACGACGUCAGGCACAACUGAGAGAUUUUAUCAGCAGGUUAAUUAGUAAUUUCAAUCGAUGAAUUCGAAAUUGAUGUCCGGAAGUGUGCUGGCAAGACUGCUGGAUGUGGAUGUGAGAGUUGUGGCACUGGGUGGACGUGGUGGAAAGCCCUCCCCACGUAUAGCAGCAGUAUGAGCCACCCAUGCACCCGGAUCGAUUGGACGUACUGGUUCUGUACGUGGAAUGGUGAAAUAACCCUUUGGAUUUGGAUCCCAACACUUGGCUACUACUAACUUAAUAGGCCUGCAAUAAAAUCAACCCAUUAACCCUCGAUAAUUCGAUAAUGGCUUAUGUCAAACUCGUAGAUGAACAAGUUCAACCUACCCUGGUUUCUGAACUACUUCGCGUAAUACCCUGACUGCCUCGUCAUUCGACAUAUUCUCAAAAUUAAUGUCAUUCACCUGGAGAAUCAUGUCGCCGGGCUCUAUCCUUCCAUCGAGAGCCACCGCACCCCUAGAAAUAAAAAAAAGGAGAGAAUAAAUUGGACAUUGUCGAUUGGAGAGGGAAUUUUUAUCGAUUUUCUCCGAUUCUCUUGCUUGUUUGCUUACCCCUUCAUAAUGGAACCAACGUAUAUACCACCAUCCCCACCGCUAUUGCUCUGUCCCACAAUACUAAUCCCGAGGAAAUUGACAGUAUCCAUGUUCAAUGACACUGUUAUUAUGUUUAGUGACAUUGUACUGUCUGUGAUACUGCUGAAUGACGACGUGCGUGACAUCGGAGGUAAUCUGUGCCGUCGUCGUCUCUGAGGUCUGCGACGAUCUGUCAUCGAUACAAUUGAAAUCGUCAAAAUUCAUUCAGUAAAUUAACAGUGAAAAAACGUGAUUAAUAUUGUUAUUUUUCAUUGGUGAUAAAUCGUGAUUCAUCUCAAUAUCGAGUGGUUUGGAAAGAAAAUUGAAACGUAUGUUGUUGAAGGAUUUUUUAAAUAAAAAAAUACUUUGAAAAA